AUUUCCGGUUGUGUCCGAGCCCACCUUCCUUAAUCUGAGGAUUCACGGACUCAAUCAUUUCGUCCGUGAUCAGCCAAUGAGUUGGAAGUGUCCGCGUUUGCUAAUUUGUUUUUCAAUCGUCUGAAUUAUAUUUCAAAAGUGUGCGUGAAUAUUUGUGUGCGGUAUGUUGGCAAAUGCCACCAUCUAGAUAGAUUGGCUAGAUAUUUCCCACCCGCAGCAAAUUAUUGCACCCAAGUGCGACGCAACCCCCCCCCCCCAUACGGACGGAAUAUUCCUGCCUGGCGAUCAUCACCUGCCAGAAGCGGACCGAUCCGUC